GUCGGAAGAAGGCGGUACCCGUUUGUGCAGCCGAGUACCCGCAUGUCAUCUGUUUGUUGAUGUGUACCCCCAAUAUCAUGUGUGACAAAGGCUGCCUUUUCUGUGAAUAAUAUUAAUUUAGCGUGUAUUGGUUGUUAUUUGGCUUAUUAUUUACGCUCCACGAUUUUGUCAAACUUUUUCAGCUCAAGCUAGCACCGAACCUAGGGCAUGUCCUCUGAGGGUCUCAGUCGGCACAAGAAGCAGCAUCAGUAACGGGCAGUAAUUCAAAAUGAGUAAAAGUUUGCUUUCCUGUGUGAAGAAUAGAAGUCUGUGGACGUCUUUUCGCAAGUGUGUCACAACAUGGUCACCUGUUGGUGCAGCUUUCAAUGCCAAACCUCACAAGAGACUGGAAGCGUUUGAGAAAAAUGUGGGUUUGUUUGGCUUGCCAGAACUGAGUUCUCCGGCUGGAUUUCAGGUGGCCACAAAGGUGGCUCUAAAGAACACACAGCUGCUAAUAAAAAAAGUGUGUACUUCUGCUCCAGGGCUUGACACUGUCACAGCUUUUGACCAGCUCUCUGAUGGUCUCUGUAAAGUGGCGGACUUGGCGGAUUUUGUCAAAGUAGCACACCCUGAUCCAGUGUACCGCGAGGCCGCAGAGAAGACUUGCAUUGAGAUCGGCACAGUCGUGGAGAAGUUGAACACCAAUGUGGAGCUAUGCAACAGUUUGAAGAAUUUGCUGGACAGGCCGGAUCUUGUGGCUCAGCUGGACUCAGACACAAGGAGAGUGGCAGAGUUAUUUAUGUUUGACUUUGAAAUCAGCGGGAUUCAUCUCGAUGAGAAACUGAGGAAAGACGCAGUUGCUCUCCACGUGAAGCUAUUGGAUUUAAACAAUGAAUUCCUGGUUGGCUCUCACAUGCCCAACAGAAUCGCCAGGUCAGCCAUUCCCGAACAUCUCCACUUGCUCUUUGCCAGCACAGGAAGUUUUGUGGAAAUUGGAGGAUUACACGCCGACUCUCCGGAUGACUUGGUCCGAGAAAUCGCCUACAGGGUUUAUCUGUAUCCAAACGCAGACCUGAUGGAAUGUCUGGAAGAACUCCUAAAAUGCAGAUAUAAGCUGGCCAAACUGGUGGGAUACGACUCCUAUGCCCACAGAGCCUUGAAGGGAACAAUGGCAACAACCCCAGAAACAGUGAUGAGAUUUCUUCAACUCUUAACAGAUAAGCUGUCAGACAGAACAGCAAAGGACUUUGAUAUGAUGAGUGACAUGAAGAAAAAACUCAACCCUCGGCAUUCGGAGCUCAUGCCGUGGGAUCACCCGUUCCUCAGUGGAGUGUUGCGUGCCGAAAGGUACAACAUCGAACCCAGUCUGUACAGCCCUUACUUUUCCCUGGGGGCCUGCAUGGACGGUUUGAACAUUCUCUUCUCUCGGCUCUACGGUGUCUCCCUCAUGUCUGAACACCCCAACGCUGGAGAGGUGUGGAGCGACGACGUGCGCAAAUUGGCUGUAGUUCAUGAAACAGAGGGAUUACUUGGAUAUAUCUACUGUGACUUUUUUCAGCGGAAAGACAAACCUCAUCAGGACUGUCACUUCACUAUCCGGGGCGGUCGCCGGUGCCAGGAAACAGGUCAGUACCAGCUGCCUGUUGUGGUUCUGAUGCUGAGCCUGCCCCACCCCGCCAGAAGUGCCCCCACCCUGCUAUCCCCAGGCAUGAUGGAGAACCUCUUCCACGAGAUGGGACACGCCAUGCAUUCAAUGCUAGGGCGCACUCGUUACCAGCAUGUUACAGGAACUAGAUGUGCAACAGAUUUUGCAGAAGUGCCCUCCAUCCUCAUGGAGUACUUUGCCUCUGACUAUCGAGUCGUCAGCCAGUUUGCACGUCAUUAUGAAACUGGACAGCCUCUGCCGGAGAGUAUGGUGACCCGCCUGUGUGAGUCCAAGAAGGUGUGCGGUGCUGCAGACACCCAGUUGCAGAUUUUCUAUGCUGCACUGGACCAGAUAUACCACAGUAAACCCCAAAAUCUCUCCACCACUGAACUACUGAAGGAGAUGCAGCAGAAGUUCUACGGCUUGCCUUACACACCAAAUACAGCUUGGCAGCUGAGAUUUAGCCAUCUCAUUGGCUAUGGAGCCAAAUACUAUUCUUACCUCAUGUCCAGAGCCGUGGCCUCCAUGGUGUGGAAGCAGUGCUUCCUUCAGGAUCCUUUAAACAGGGAAAUGGGUGAGCGUUACCGUCGAGAGAUGUUAGCCCAUGGAGGAGCCAAGGAGCCCAUGUUGAUGGUAGAAGGUAUGCUUCAAAGGCGUCCUACCAUCGAGGACUUCGUGGAGGCGCUGGUGUCGGAGCUCCAGCCAAACUUUGAGACAUUCAUCAUGGAUUCAGAGACCUGAGAGGUGCUUUUAUGCCCUCAGGACAUUUGGUAGAGUAGCAAAAUGUAUGUACAAUAGACCACAAUAUGUGGGCAUACAUACAUGCAAGGCCUUCUUACCUAAUCUGUAAUUAUUAAAAGGUCAAGGUUGAGCUCUAGCCCAUCCCAGCUGACCUGCAUGACAGGUUGCCUACACCCUUGACUGAUUAUCAGCCAAUCACAGGAAGUACCUGGUCAAAACACAUGCAAGACCGGGAAGAACGCAACCCCCCCACGGGAAGGCAAGAGCCCUGAUUCGAACCGCAACCUCAGAACUGUGAGGCAGAUAAGCCGAACACUCUUUCACUGUUCAUAAGUGACAGGGGAAAAUUUUUUUUUUUACUUUUGCAAAAAAAUAAUAAUAAUUCAAGACAGAACAUUAUUGUCUUUAUAAAGGCAGAUGGAUUGGCUUUGUGUAUGAAGGUGUCGCUACUGAUCAAAAAAUGAACAUUUGUCUGUUCAAGUGUUUUAUUUACAAAGGUGUAAAACAAAUACAUGGAUCAUCAGCACUAUAAAUGCCGCACACAUUCAGUCAUGUCUGUUACAAAAAUACGCAGCUAUUUACUAUUUUACAUUAUCCACAAGUCACUUGAACGCAUGUACUCAAGAUUGUCUUCAGUGUGAUUUUCGUUCAUGUCACGACUAAAAACGCUCAAUGCCUGACAUGACAUGAUCAA